rnacentral:rRNA from 1 species
GACCUCGGAUCAGGUAGGGAUACCCGCUGAACUUAAGCAUAUCAAUAAGGGAGGAAAAGAAACCAACAGGGAUUGCCUCAGUAACGGCGAGUGAAGCGCAACAGCUCAAAUUUGAAAUCUGGCCCCGUCGGGGUCCGAGUUGUAAUUGUAGAGAGUGUUUCGGGUGAGACCACGGUCUAAGUCUAUUGGAACAUGGGUCAUAGAGGGUGAGAAUCCCGUAUGUGACCGUGGCUCGAGCCCAUGUGAGCCUCUUCGACGAGUCGAGUUGUUUGGGAAUGCAGCUCAAAAUGGGUGUAAAUUUCAUCUAAAGCUAAAUACUGGCUGGAGACGAUAGCGCACAAGUGAGUGAUCGAAAGAUGAAAAGCACUUGGAAAGAGAGUCAAAAAUACGUGAAUUGUUGAAAGGGAAGCGCUUGCAACCAGACCUGUCCGUAGGUGAUCACCGCUGUUCUCAGUGGUGCACUCGCUCUGCGAUCAGGCCAGCAUCGGUUCGGCGGUCGGAUAAAGGCCUUGGGAAUGUAGCUGCCUUCGGGGAGUCUUUAGCCCUCGGUGCAAUGCGGCCAGCCGGGACCGAGGACCGCGCUUCGGCAGGAUGCUGGCGUAAUGGCUGUAAGCGACCCGUCUUGAAACACGGACCAGGAGUCUAACAUCUAUGCGAGUGUUUGGGUGUUAAACCCAUGCGCGGAAGAAAGUGAACGGAGGUGAGAACCCUUUAGGGCGCAUCAUCGACCGAUCCGAUGUCUUCGGAUGGAUUUGAGUAUGAGCAUAGCUGUUGGGACCCGAAAAUGGUGAACUAUGCCUGAAUAGGGUGAAGCCAGAGGAAACUCUGGUGGAGCUCGCAGCGGUUCUGACGUGCAAAUCGAUCGUCAAAUUUGGGUAUAGGGUACGUGUUCUAUUCGAGAUGAUGAGAUGAGAUUUAAUGCUAAUUUUUUAUAUAGGCGAAAGACUAAUCGAACCAUCCCUUUAAUACGCUAUAGGUGGUAAUCAAAGUAUCUUGUUUCUCAAAUACUUUCAGUCCUUCGGGGCGACACACUACUUGCAUGAACAAACCUUUAGGUUGACAUGCUGCAGUUCUUCCCCUCGUGUGGGGCCUGUUCACAGACCAAAUAGUGGUGGCCGGGCUAUUUCUUUAUGAAUGCUCGGUUUAGAAAUGGCCGAGUCCUACUCUUAAUUGAGUGGUCCUGGGACGGUGGUGCAAUUUGGGCCCUCCCGUCGCGGGACCUU